rnacentral:rRNA from 1 species
GACGAACGCUGGCGGCGUGCCUAAUACAUGCAAGUCGAGCGCAGGAAGUCGACGGAACCCUUCGGGGGGAAGUCGACGGAAUGAGCGGCGGACGGGUGAGUAACACGUAAAGAACCUGCCCUCAGGUCUGGGAUAACCACGAGAAAUCGGGGCUAAUACCGGACGGGUCAUCGGACCGCAUGGUCCGAGGAUGAAAGGCGCUCCGGCGUCGCCUGGGGAUGGCUUUGCGGUGCAUUAGCUAGUUGGUGGGGUAAUGGCCCACCAAGGCGACGAUGCAUAGCCGACCUGCGAGGGUGAUCGGCCACACUGGGACUGAGACACGGCCCAGACUCCUACGGGAGGCAGCAGUAGGGAAUCUUCCACAAUGGACGAAAGUCUGAUGGAGCAACGCCGCGUGAACGAUGAAGGCCUUCGGGUCGUAAAGUUCUGUUGUAAGGGAAGAACAAGUGCCGCAGGCAAUGGCGGCACCUUGACGGUACCUUGCGAGAAAGCCACGGCUAACUACGUGCCAGCCGCCGCCGUAAUAC